rnacentral:lncRNA from 1 species
GACGUGAUGUGAGACUGGAUGUGGACUUCACUGGGUCAUGCAGCUGUCUCUAGGCCUGGUGGGUUCCAGUGCUAGCUGCUGUCUCUCUGUAGGCAUGACAAAGUGUCUGAGCUGAAGCAGUGAAGGGGAAGGAAAAUCCAGGAAUAACUUCCUUCAUGGAGAGAUCCAGAAUCAGCAAGUGCAGUCUUCCUUGAUGGGCCAGCUGAGUACCACUGAAUGAACAUCCUUCUUCUUCACCCUUGAUUCCCAUUCAUCCUUGUGGGGAGAGAAGGAUGAAGAAAGAGGAGCUUUAGGUCUUCUGCAAGUCAGACUCCAUUCAUUCACUGAGUACUGAGCCAGGCCACCUGCCAGGCACUGGGACCAUGAGAUGAAUCUUACCAGUCCCUGCCUUCAAGGAACUCACAACCUAUAGAGGAAGAGCGGACAGGCUGGGAAGUAGGAGGAGAUAGUGGCCUCCAGGCUCCUCCAUCCAGACAGUGCCAUGCGUGUCCAGCCCAAUCUCUCACCUGGCUGCUCCCAGAGCCUCUGACCUGUACUCCCUGCCUCCAGGCUUUUCGCCUCCAGCCCACUUUCCAACAGCAGCCGGAGAGCUCUCUUCAGAGGACAAACCUGACCAUGGCAACUCUGUCCAGAAUCCUUCAAUGCAUCGUUCCGGAUUUCAAGAUGAAGCCUGAGUUCCAGGCAGUUCCAGACUUGGCCCCGGUUCUCUCCUCCAGCCUCAUGGCUCCCCGCAUCCAUCCCCCAGUCCAUGUUCUGGCCAUACUGGUCCAUUUGCAGCACGCUUGCUUCCUCUGAAACUUGGACUUUUGCACACGUUAUCCUUUUUGGCAGGAACCCGCUCUUACCCCACCCCCUUCCUCUGGCUAACUCACCUUUCACAUAUGAUUAUGGCUUCCCUGCCACCCCACCACCCCCAGGAUAGGCUUCCAUCUCUUGCUCUUAUGAGACCCACCUCCAGUCAUGGCACUGGGUAACUGGCCUCCCUCAGUGAUUACUGCUUACUGAGUUAUCUGUCUUUCCCACCAGACUAUAAACUCCUUCAAGGCGGGAACUCCAUCUGUUUUGCACCCCAUUAUACCCCCACC